rnacentral:rRNA from 1 species
GAUGAACGCUGGCGGCGUGCCUAAUACAUGCAAGUCGAGCGAACAGACGAGGAGCUUUCUCCUCUGACGUUAGCGGCGGACGUGUGAGUAACACGUGGAUAACCUACCUAUAAGACUGGGAUAACUUCGGGAAACCGGCGCUAAUACCGGAUAAUAUAUUGAACCGCAUGGUUCAAUAGUGAAAGACGGUUUUGCUGUCACUUAUAGAUGGAUCCGCGCCGCAUUAGCUAGUUGGUAAGGUAACGGCUUACCAAGGCAACGAUGCGUAGCCGACCUGAGAGGGUGAUCGGCCACACUGGAACGGAGACACGGUCCAGACUCCUACGGGAGGCAGCAGUAGGGAAUCUUCCGCAAUGGGCGAAAGCCCGACGGAGCAACGCCGCGUGAGUGAUGAAGGUCUUCGGAUCGUAAAACUCUGUUAUUAGGGAAGAACAAAUGUGUAAGUAACUAUGCACGUCUUGACGGUACCUAAUCAGAAAGCCACGGCUAACUACGUG